AUGUUUAACCAUAAUUAUGUAAUAAUCCUUUUCUUUUUAAUUAAAAAAAUUUCCAAUAACAUUUUUUUUAUUAUAUUAAUUUCUGGGUCUUUAAUUACUAUUUCAGCUAACUCUUGACUAGGGGCAUGAAUAGGAUUAGAAAUUAAUUUACUUUCAUUUAUUCCCUUAAUAAAUGAAAGUAAAAAAAAUCUAAUAACUUCAGAAAGUAGAUUAAAAUAUUUUUUAGUUCAAGCCUUUGCUUCUUCAAUUUUAUUAUUUGCUAUUAUUUUAAUAAUAAUAUUUUUUAAUAGAAAUUGAAUAAUAAAUAAUAAUUUUAAUAAUUUAUUAAUUUUAUCAACAUUAUUAUUAAAAAGAGGAGCAGCUCCCUUUCAUUUUUGAUUCCCUGGAGUAAUAGAAGGGUUAUCUUGGAUUAAUGGAUUAAUCCUUAUAACUUGACAAAAAAUUGCCCCAUUAAUAUUAAUUUCUUAUAAUUUAAAUUAUAAUUUUUUUCUAUUUACUAUUUUAUUUUCUAUAAUUAUUGGGGCAUUUGGGGGAUUAAAUCAAACCUCCUUACGUAAAUUAAUAGCUUUUUCUUCUAUUAAUCAUUUAGGGUGAAUGCUUUUAGCUAUAAUAAAUAAUGAAUUAUUAUGAAUAACAUAUUUUAUUUUAUAUUCAAUUUUAUCAAUUUCAAUUAUUUUAAUAUUUAAUAAUUUUAAAUUAUUUCAUUUUAAUCAAAUUUUUAAUUUAUCUAUAAUAAAUCCUUAUAUAAAAUUUUUUAUAUUUUUAAAUUUAUUAUCAUUAGGAGGAUUACCUCCUUUUUUAGGAUUUUUACCUAAAUGAUUGGUCAUUCAAAAUUUAGUAGAAAUAAAUCAAAUAUUUAUUUUAUUUAUUGCUGUUUGUUUAACAUUAGUAACUCUUUAUUAUUAUUUACGAAUAUCUUAUAGUAUUUAUAUAUUAAAUUAUAAUAAAAAUUCUUGAUUAUUAAUUAAUCAACAUAAUAAUAAUAAUUUAACAUUAAUUUUAACUAUAAAUUUUAUCUCUAUUAUAGGAUUAUUAAUAAUUUCAUUAAUUUUUAUAAUUUUAUAAUAAGAAUUUAAGUUAAAUAAACUAAUAGCCUUCAAAGCUGAAAAUAUUUGUAUUAAUCUUUUAAUUCUUAAACUUUAAUAAUUAAAAAAUUAUUCCUUUAGAAUUGCAGUCUAAUAUCAUUAUUGAAUAUAAAGUUUGAUUAAAAAGAAUAUUUCUUAUACAUAAAUUUACAAUUUAUUGCCUAAACUUCAGCCAUUUAAUCGCGACAAUGGUUAUUUUCAACAAAUCAUAAAGAUAUUGGAACAUUAUACUUUAUUUUCGGUAUUUGAUCUGGAAUAGUCGGAACUUCACUAAGAGUUUUAAUUCGUACUGAACUUAGACAUCCUGGUAUAUUUAUUGGAAAUGAUCAAAUUUAUAAUGUAAUUGUUACUGCUCAUGCUUUUAUUAUAAUUUUUUUUAUAGUAAUACCUAUCAUAAUUGGAGGAUUUGGAAACUGACUAGUACCCUUAAUACUAGGAGCCCCUGAUAUAGCUUUCCCUCGAAUAAAUAAUAUAAGUUUUUGAAUAUUACCCCCCUCUUUAACACUGCUGCUUUCUAGUUCUAUAGUAGAAAACGGAGCUGGAACAGGGUGAACGGUUUAUCCUCCUCUUUCUUCUGGAACAGCUCAUGCUGGGGCUUCAGUUGAUUUAGCAAUUUUUUCUUUACAUUUAGCGGGAAUCUCAUCUAUUUUAGGAGCAGUAAAUUUUAUUACAACUGUAAUUAAUAUACGAUCAGCUGGUAUUACUCUUGAUCGACUACCUUUAUUUGUGUGAUCAGUAGUAAUUACAGCUAUUUUAUUACUUCUUUCUCUACCCGUAUUAGCCGGAGCUAUUACUAUAUUAUUAACAGACCGAAAUUUAAAUACAUCUUUUUUUGAUCCAAUUGGAGGAGGAGACCCUAUUUUAUAUCAACAUUUAUUUUGAUUUUUUGGUCAUCCAGAAGUUUAUAUUUUAAUUCUACCAGGAUUUGGAAUAAUUUCUCAUAUUAUUACACAAGAAAGAGGAAAAAAGGAAACUUUUGGUACUUUAGGGAUAAUUUAUGCUAUAUUAACAAUUGGCUUAUUAGGAUUUAUUGUAUGAGCUCAUCAUAUAUUUACAGUUGGUAUAGAUGUUGAUACUCGAGCUUAUUUUACAUCUGCAACUAUAAUUAUUGCGGUACCUACAGGAAUUAAAAUUUUUAGUUGAUUAGCUACUCUUCAUGGAACACAAUUAACAUAUAGCCCUGCACUUUUAUGAUCUUUAGGAUUUGUUUUUUUAUUUACAGUUGGGGGAUUAACCGGAGUAAUUUUAGCUAAUUCAUCAAUUGAUAUUGUACUUCACGAUACAUAUUAUGUAGUAGCCCAUUUUCAUUAUGUAUUAUCUAUAGGAGCAGUAUUUGCUAUUAUAGCAGGAUUUAUUCAUUGAUAUCCGUUAUUAACAGGAAUAAUUAUAAAUCCUUCAUGAUUAAAAGCUCAAUUUACAAUAAUAUUUAUUGGAGUUAAUUUAACUUUUUUUCCUCAACAUUUUUUAGGAUUAGCCGGAAUACCUCGACGUUACUCUGAUUUUCCAGAUAGUUAUUUAACUUGAAAUAUUAUUUCUUCUUUAGGAAGAAUAAUUUCUUUAUUUGCUAUUAUUUUCUUUUUAUUUAUUAUUUGAGAAAGAAUAAUUACACAACGAACUCCUUCUUUCCCCAUACAAUUAUCUUCAUCUAUUGAAUGAUAUCAUACUUUACCUCCUGCAGAACAUACUUAUUCAGAAUUACCUCUUCUUUCUUCUAAUU